GGGGAAUCUUCCGCAAUGGGCGAAAGCCUGACGGAGCAAUACCGCGUGAGGGAAGACUGCCUAUGUGUUGUAAACCUCUUUUAUCAGGGAGGAAUAAAAUGACGUGUACCUGAUGAAUAAGCAUCGGCUAACUCUGUGCCAGCAGCCGCGGUAAGACAGAGGAUGCAAGUGUUAUCCGGAAUUACUGGGCGUAAAGCGUCUGUAGGUUGUUAAACAAGUCAACUGUUAAAUCUUGAAGCUCAACUUCAAAAUCGCAGUCGAAACUGUUAAACUAGAGUAUAGUAGAGGUAAAGGGAAUUUCCAGUGGAGCGGUGAAAUGCGUAGAUAUUGGGAAGAACACCGAUGGCGAAAGCACUUUACUGGGCUAUUACUGACACUCAGAGACGACAGCUAGGGUAGCAAAAGGGAUUAGAUACCCCAGUAGUC
rnacentral:rRNA from 1 species